AUGCUCCCUUACGCAACGGCGUCCGACGCGGAGGCGGCCCUGAGGCGCGCCAUGACGCGCGCCGAGGCAGCGUGGUUCGGGUACACGGCGGCGAAGGCUGACUACUACCUUUACUACCACACUGUCGCCGUCCUCCUUGCCGUCUACACCCUGCUGCCGCUCAUGCUCGCGCUUCUCGAGCUCGGCGCGCCGGCCCUCGCCAUGCGGUACAAGCUGCAGCCGCGUGGGAAGCGGCUGUCGCCGGCCGGCUUCCUCCGCUGCUACACAGACACACCGCGCUUCUUGCUCCCCCUCGCCGCCCCUGUCCAGCUGCUAUCCUAUCCUGCCGUGAAGAUGUUGGGGAUCCGGAUGGGGCUGCCGCUGCCGUCGGCGGGAGAGAUGGCGGCGCAGCUGCUCAUGUACCUGCUUGUGGAGGACUAUCUCAGCUACUGGGUCCACCGGCUAAUGCACACCAAGUGGUGCUACGACAACAUCCACCACGUCCACCAUGAGUACACUGCACCCAACGGCUUCGUCGCGCCAUACAUGCACUGGACCGAGGUGCUCAUCCUCACCGUCCCCACCGUCGUCGGCCCGGUCAUCGCGCCUUGCCACAUGAUCACCUUCGGCAUCUGGUUUGUGAUAGUGGCUAUUUCGGCCAUCGAGACCCACUGCGGGUACAACUUCCCGUUCAACCCGACAAAGCUUAUCCCGCUCUGGGGAGGAGCAGAGUUCCACGACUACCAUCACUACUUAGGAGGGAACUGCCAGAGCAACUUUGCAACUGUCUUCACGUAUUGUGAUUAUCUGUACGGGACAGAUAAUGCCUUCAGACGCCACAAGGCAGGCCAAGCAAAGCUGAAGAUGGUGGCAGAAAAGAAUGUCGAGAAAUGA
rnacentral:rRNA from 1 species